CCAGCUGUUAGAAGCUUGGAUGUGCAGUGAAAAUGGUUAUGUUUACUAAUACAAAAUACUUGGACUGAGACUGACCCACCUGGAAGCAGGCAGUGCUGCACUUCUGCAGGCUGUUCUCUGUGGAGACUGCCCUGGAGAACUUCUAGCACAUAGGAACACAUUCACCCUGCAGAUGGCUGGCCCUCAAGAGGAAAAGGAUGAUAAGAAGAUGCUGAGGUGUGUGGUGUCCAAUUCCUCUCCCAGACUCAUCAAAUCAGGUUUUGAGUCAGGAACAUGGAUGAUUAAUUUGAGAGCUUUCCUCCUUGCUAAUAUUCCGGCUCUGUCACCAGGCUGGAGUGCAGUGGCAAGAUCUCGGCUCAUCACAAAACUCUGCCUCUCUGGUUCAAGCAAUUCUCUGCCUCAGCCUCCUAAGUUGCUGGGAUAACAGGUGCCCACCACCACACCAGGCUAAUUUUUUGUAUUUUUAGUAGAGACGGUGUUUUGCCAUCCUGGCCAGGCUGGUCUUAAACUCCUGAUCUCAUGAUCCACCUGCCUCAGCCUCCCAAAGUGCUGGGAUUACAGGUGUGAGAUUUAUUAUUCUUUUUUAUUUCCCAUAGUGCUCAGAAUACACUGCUAAGUAGUCAAUAAAUGCUACUCAAUUGAGUAAAACCUUCAGUGAAACUGGACUGACUGAUUCAACAGGGUGUUUUUAGAUUUAUCCUGUACACACAGAAUUAGACCAUCCCAUGGGAUUGCUAUGAUGAAGAACAGAACGCUUCCCUGGGAUGGAUGAAAAGGAGAAUCACCCCAAACAACAAGACAACCAAGCUAUGAGCCGGCACGCUCCUAUCUGCAUGACUGAUAAAGACCAUCUGAUGCCGCCAGUUAUUCAGCGAGGUCAUUCUCUCCACAAAGUCACAAUAUUUAUUUUAACGCCAGUGACUAUUGAGUGUGUGUGUAUAUCUAUGUAGUGAUAAAACACUGCCGUAAUGUGUACACAGGGUCUGAACAAGAUCAAUUCAUCAGGACAAUCAUGCAGCCUACAUGUGAGAGAGGUUGUUUAUGCAGUGGGCUGAUAGAAUACCAUAAUACAAGCCACAGAGAAGCACUGUCUAAUGUUCAUAAUGCAUGCUAUAUAUUUCACAAUAUGGGCAUUAUAUAAAUAAUUAAUAGUGUGGACUAGAGAUAGCACUGAUAGGAAGGAGAGAGACAGCAUUAGAGAAAGUCUGCUCGAAUACUCCACUCUAACGAGUGGGAUAGAAACGUUUCACCAAGCACAUCACAUGUUUUAGGGAUUCUUUUUAUCAAGCAUUGUCUUGUGGAAUGGCGAAUUUUUCUUCUCAGUGACUGCUAGUCAUACAUAUACAAUUUUGAAGUGUUUUAUUUGUAAGUUUAGAAAAAACUGUUUCCACUGUCUAUGUGUAUGAAAGUCAAUGUAGAAAGAUUGCCCCAUGAAACAGGACAAUAAAAUGCAACUGUUUAAACUGCUUAGAUGCCAGUGUUUUUCUCAGAAAUGUUAUAUUCAGGAAUACAGUAAGCUUAAUUGGCAAGAUAUUGACUAGGCUAUAUGUAAUUUAUCUUUCAACCAUUACUAUGUGUUUCCCCAAAUACCCUGUUGGCUACCUAGAGAGGAGCACUAUACUGAUGAGCACGAGCUCAGGUCCCCAAGG
rnacentral:lncRNA from 1 species